AUUGAACGCUGGCGGCAUGCCUUACACAUGCAAGUCGAACGGUAACAGGUCUUCGGAUGCUGAUGAGUGGCGAACGGGUGAGUAAUACAUCGGAACGUGCCCGAGAGUGGGGGAUAACGAGGCGAAAGCUUUGCUAAUACCGCAUACGAUCUCAGGAUGAAAGCAGGGGACCGCAAGGCCUUGCGCACAGGGAGCGGCCGAUGGCAGAUUAGGUAGUUGGUGGGAUAAAAGCUUACCAAGCCGACGAUCUGUAGCUGGUCUGAGAGGACGACCAGCCACACUGGGACUGAGACACGGCCCAGACUCCUACGGGAGGCAGCAGUGGGGAAUUUUGGACAAUGGGCGCAAGCCUGAUCCAGCCAUGCCGCGUGCAGGAUGAAGGCCUUCGGGUUGUAAACUGCUUUUGUACGGAACGAAAAGACUCUGGUUAAUACCUGGGGUCCAUGACGGUACCGUAAGAAUAAGCACCGGCUAACUACGUGCCAGCAGCCGCGGUAACAC
rnacentral:rRNA from 1 species